rnacentral:rRNA from 1 species
CCAAUAGCGUAUAUUAAAGUUGUUGCAGUUAAAAAGCUCGUAGUUGAAUUUCGAGAUCAACUUGUUGGUCGUGCCUCGGUACGUACUGGCAAUUUUGAUUUCUCCCUUCUGAAGAACCAUGAUGUCAUUAAUUUGGUGUCAUGGGGAAUCAGGACCGUUACUUUGAAAAAAUUAGAGUGUUUAAAGCAGGCUCGCGCUUGAAUACAUUAGCAUGGAAUAA